rnacentral:rRNA from 1 species
AAGAACCUUACCUACCCUUGACAUGGCUGGAAUCCCCGAGAGAUGGGGAGUGCUCGAAAGAGAACCAGUACACAGGUGCUGCAUGGCGUCGUCAGCUCGUGUCGUGAGAUGUUGGGUUAAGUCCCGCAACGAGCGCAACCCUUGUCAUUAGUUGCUACGAAAGGGCACUCUAAUGAGACUGCCGGUGACAAACCGGAGGAAGGUGGGGAUGACGUCAAGUCCUCAUGGCCCUUAUGGGUAGGGCUUCACACGUCAUACAAUGGUACAUACAGAGCGCCGCCAACCCGCGAGGGGGAGCUAAUCGCAGAAAGUGUAUCGUAGUCCGGAUUGUAGUCUGCAACUCGACUGCAUGAAGUUGAAUCGCUAGUAAUCGCGAU